ACGGAUAUGAUGAAAUUUGGUAAACGUAUCAGAUUUAGGAUCUGACGGGUCAUUUACCCUUGUGGGUUCAAGUCCCACUAUCCGUA
rnacentral:tRNA from 1 species